UUGUCGGGUUAAUGGAGGAGAGCUCCAGG
rnacentral:piRNA from 1 species